AAAGAAGGAAAACUGUGACUUGAAGCCAAACGAGCAUCCCUGAAACUGGAGCGAGACCGGGGGAGCCUCUCUCUGAGAACCCCGUUUUGCAGAAAGAAAUGGAAGCCCCGAGAAAUGUGAGUGGCUCCUCCAGGUCGUGUCAUCACAGUCCGGAUCGCGUGCAGACACAGCGAGCUCAGGACCCACGGAGAGGCUGCUGCGGAAUCACGGCUGCGGCGCCCCGGAAAAGGAAGUGCUGGGAUAAAUCGCUAAAGCCGCCGACUGCUAAGAGCAGGGCCGAGGCCCCGACCUGGCCGAGGCCCCCUGCGCGAGACCCAGGGCAGGCGCUGCGCACGUGCUCCUCGCCAUCCUGAGGCCCGCGGGGCUGUGCUACUCGUCAGAAUGCUCCAGCGAGAGACCCCACAACUAUAGUUUCCCGCCUCCUUCUCUGGCUGGGGCUGGAGGAAGUGACGACCAGGAGUGUCAGGGCUCGCUGUUGUACCCUCACGGGCACAGGAGGAAUGCCAGCGGCGCGGUGAGGCGCCUCCACAGUCGUUCUGGCCGUGCCCCCGAAUCCACUCAGGGUUCUGGUGCUGGUGGCCUGCACGUGGGAGUCUAACGUCCUUUGCGUAUUUUCGCACUGAAUGUUGGUAUUUAC